UGGGAGGAAGCAAUUAUGCGUCUUAUUUACAAUAAGAAGAAUGGGUUAUACCCCCUCUCUA
rnacentral:tRNA from 1 species